GUGUCAGCAGCCGCGGUAAUACGGAGGGGGCUAGCGUUGUUCGGAAUUACUGGGCGUAAAGGGCGCGUAGGCGGCGCGAUAAGUUGGGCGUGAAAGGCCCGGGCUCAACCCGGGGACUGCGCUUGAUACUGUCGCGCUGUGAGUCCGGGAGAGGAUGGCGGAAUUCCCAGUGUAGAGGUGAAAUUCGUAGAUAUUGGGAAGAACACCGGUGGCGAAGGCGGCCAUCUGGACCGGCACUGACGCUGAGGCGCGAAAGCGUGGGGAGCAAACAGGAUUAGAUACCCUGGUAGUCCACGCCGUAAACGAUGCGUGCUAGACGUUGGGGGGCUUGCCCUUCGGUGUCGUCGCUAACGCAUGAAGCACGCCGCCUGGGGAGUACGGUCGCAAGAUUAAA
rnacentral:rRNA from 1 species